GGGGGCGACAGGUUUCGACGGGGAGCAGAACGGCGGAAACAGCGGGCCGAGGCGCCGUGCCUCGUUAAAAAGCGGCAAGCCGAUAAUAAACGGCAACAAUCAAUUAGCUGCUGCUUAAUAUAGAGCAGCCGUCCUAACCGGAUUUUAUCCGGGAGUCCGGGGUGGGCGUCGACUAAACCGGAUUGCUCCUGUCUCUGCGCCUGAGGAGACAGGCUAAGAAACACGGGCUUGGUCAAAGGGU
rnacentral:tmRNA from 1 species